UUGUAAUAAUUGGUACAUGACCUCAACUUUUCCAAAAAAAGAUGAAGACUUUAGAGAGAGAAAGUAGAGAGAGAGCAGCAAAAAAAGGGCUCCGAUGGGUUCCGGCCGCAGGUGAUGGCAGAGCCAUGAUGCCUUUAGACGGAGCUACAACAGUGGUGGUCUAGGUGGUGUCGGGUUGGACAAAUAAACAACAGUUGUGGUGCUAGGGUUUGACAAAGGAUGAUGGUGGUGGUGUUAGGUAAGAGGCGGUGGUUCAGUUGACAACUGUGACGACCACGACGGACCCGAUUGCAGUAACAGUGACCGCGGCGUUUUGAAGGUUUAGGAUUCCGGCAAGGCUUCAGUUAAUUCCUACGAGUUUUGCGGUAAGCUUCGUUUCGCUUGCAUGUUUUAUUUUUGUUUAGAUCGGCUCCGAACGAAUAUGAUUUGGUGAAACUUGUGAUAAGUGUUAUUUUCUUGCUCCUCAACGAGAAGCAUCUUCUGGCAUUCUACUAAAUAGUUUACUAAUGAAGGAUAGGUCUUCAGCCUCCAUUUAGAAAUGGAAUUUAGCAAAAGAUAAAUUAUUUAGGAUAAGGUUAAGGUUUUAGCCUUUUUGUUAAGUGAAAGGGGCCUUUCAAAUACUGGUUAACUAUCCUGUUUUACUUCAUGAAGUUGCUGUUGAAAAGUUGUUGAGAGAAAGACCAACGAAGAUUGUAAAUUUUUGUUAAAAGAGGUGGCAAAAUGGGUGGCUUGAAUAGCCGAUCAAAAGAGUAUGCUGGUUUGUUUGUUUUUUAUUUGUUAGUACUUUGUAAGCAUAUACACUAAUACACAUACAAAAAAAAGUAGAUUGGAGUUGUAUUCUUAUUAGGUUGUAAAAAUAGUUUUACCUUGGAAGGUAAUUUUUAUGAGACCAGGUUUCACUUCUGAGAUGAAAAAGAUCAAAUACCGUGUGUUAGCAGAUCUAAGAGGAUAGAAUAGAACGUGGAGAUUGGAUUGCAUGAGGGGACACAAGAUCAAAAGCUAUUGAUGAUAGCCAUGUUGGUUGUUGAUGGGAGUCAAAGACUUGGUUAACUCAGUCAACCAAGUUGACUCGGUCAACAUAGUAAGUCGGGUGAAAACCCUCUCAAACGAUAGGAAGCUAGAUAGGUAGUGAGAGUGAUAACCUGUUUAUUUCGAUGAUUUUCAUGAUUGUAUAUCAUUAUUUUGAAGGAUCAAGAGAAUUAAGAAACUGUGUAUUGAAUUCGAGUUUGGGCUAUAUUCAUGGUUCUUAAUAUGUUGAUUGUACACUAAAGCUUCUUUUGGAAGCUUUAUAUUUCAUACAAAGAGAAGAGAGAGACAUGAGAGAUAGAGAUGCAGAUUCGUUUGAGAGAGAGAAACGGUGGAAGGACCAACGUUUACGGUGGUUACUAGGCGGUGCACGGCGGCGCUUUUCACUUAUGACGCUACACGACUGACACUCAAAGAAUCAUCGAGGAGGAGUGUAUUUCGGUGAAGUAUGACGAGUCUCCGACGAAGAUCCGGUAAGUCUUCUAUUCUGUUGCAUGUUACAGUUUCAGUUACAUCGGUUCUUGAUAUGUCGUUUGAGACUAUUCUCGGUGAUAAAUAAUUCUGACAAGAAUCCGGUCAAGUUCCGACCAAGCUCCGGUGAACGAAACUCGACCUGCAUCUCUUCUUUAUUUUUCUACGUUUAGUUAUGUUGAUUAUAAAUGUUUGGGAAUUAGGUCAAGUGGUUGUAGUCUUGGGUUGAAAUUUGUUGAUCAAAGUCAAAAUAGUUCUGAUUUGGUUGCAAAGAUGAAGAAUACAGAGCUCAACUUGUGAGUAAUGUUAGACAUGACCAAAGAAGUAUAAAUAGAUUAGAGUCAAGCAUUAGUGGAGUGGAAAGAAGUAGAGAGGGUACAAGUAAGAGAUACAGAUUCCAUGGUAGUGGCUGAUGGAUACAGGAGUCGUUGGAAAGGUAGGGGCAGACUUUCCUUUAUCACCAAGCAAAGGCUUUUUGUGAUAAUAAACUUGAGUUACAAUAUAUUAUGAUUUAUAAAGUUAACUACAAAUCUUGAUUGUAACUUAAGCUAUUUAUUUUAUUAAUUAAUUAAGUCGACAAUUACAGAUAAAACUAAGUUCCCUGAAUCUGUCACAAGAGUGUAUGCAGAGGAUCGCUAAAGAAUUAGAGUGCAAUGAAGCUUCACGAGACGGGGAUUUGGCACGAGAGUGUAUGCGGAGGAUCGCUAUAGAAUUGGAGUGCAAUGAAGCUUCACGAUACGGGGAUUUGUUGCUACAAGGCAUUCGAUUUGCUUUUCGGGUUCAUUAGGUACAUUUAUAUAUAUUAUAAUUUGCAACAUUUGUAUGCAACGAGAGUUGUACAUUGUGCUAUUGUACCAGUUUUGUUAGUAUUUUUGUCUAGAUAGUUUGGCAGUGGAAAAUACAUCAGCUCAAGGGGACACGCGUCAUUAAUCCUCAUCGUAUGAGAAACCUAAACCAUCUUUCUCACAAAGUCUGGGUAGAGGGAGAGAUCGAGAGAAAGAGAAUCCGACCACACUCCGGCGGCCGGUGGUAUCAAUGACGACGGUGACGAUAGGGGUAAACGGAAAUGAAGAUGAUCGUCUUUUGAGAUUUAGGUUGUACAGUUGUUUUGUAAUAAAGUUGUCAUUGUCGUGGCUCUGGUGGUGUUUCGCAGCGUGUAAAGCGACUGCCGGUGGCGAAGACGACCUACUGUAGUCGAACAUUUGAUGAACAUGAAGUUCACUUGCAUUGCAUCAAUAAAGACAGAUAAACGCCACCAGUGGUACUGCCUCCGACUUGCUCCUUUAAAAAAAAAACUCCCGAUGAAGUACUUGGCAAUGAGACUUGUAUUCUUAGAGUUCAUCUACUCGGUGAUGGUUGCAAACACAAAGUGAAGAAACUUCUUCAAAGAAUUGACGGCAUUCUCUCUUUCAGCUGUUCCUUUCAUUAAAAAAAGAAAAGAAACUAUGUCUUUGACUUUUGAAGUCAAAGAAUACUUUUUCGUUUCAAACUUGAAUGUAAUUAUUGGAAAGAAAAAAAUGGUACAUGUACAAGUAGGUGUUGAAUAUGGUACAAAAGGGAAGAAGUUCUUGGUGUAGGUAUGGGUGGGAUAUGAAGGUCAAGAUUUGUCGGGUUUGACUACACAUGUUCAAGAUUUGUGACGAUGAUGAAUCUUUAAGUUCGGUUAGCUUAAUGAACUAGAGCAGGUAGUUUCAUUCAUGUGUAUAAAUGUGAUAGCAAGUUUUGUAUCAUUAAUGUGGGCAUAAUAGAAGAAUAUUAGUUUGCUUUA